CACACACACACACACACACCCUGAAAGGGCUUUCCUUGUCUUAAGCCUCUGUGUAUGAAACACUCUGGAACCCACCGGCCUAGGUGUUAGAACAGCACCGAAGUUGCCAGGGCCAGGGGUCCAGCCAUCCUGACCUCUGCUAGCCACCCUGCAAGGGCCGAUGUUCCCACGCAGGAGGCCCCAGGGAGGUGGUACUGAGCAACCGGCCACACCCAAGGAAACAGCUCAGAGCUCAACUUCCUCCUGAAUUAGGCCACACCCGAGGCCUCCCGGGUCUCAUCCACGCCUCUGGGUCCAUCACUAAACAGAAGGCACAAUCCCACUAACUCUUACUCCAUCGCUGCUCAUGAAACUCCUGCCAGUAAGGACUGGGUCAAGCACCUGAAAACCAGAGCUCGUCCGUGGCUUCACUUGUUUUGGACUAAGGAGCUGAGGAGCGUGCAAGACUGUACUUGGAGAAUCUGUUUCUUGCUGCCAUUUCGUCACUGAACACUAUUUUUUUUCUCCUUCUUUUUUUGUAAGAAAAGGAGAACACAUAAAACCCCACCAGAACAAACUCCACUCGGCCCUGAAAGUAUUUACAAUCACGGCCCUGAAAGUACUGAAAGUAUUUACAAUCACGUUACAGUUCAUUCACUGCUGCAGAACCUCUCUCCAGCGAUCAAGGUCGAAGGGAGCCGACGUCGCCCUCUAUCGGCUCCCUGCUGCACUAGAAGAUAUUGACUGAGAAUCCUCCAUGUGCCAAGUACUGUUCAAAAACACUGGGAACCCAGCAGGGAUGAGCCACAAGUUUCCUUGUCUUUACGAAGCUUUCAUUCUGAGGGAGUGGAGAGAGACAAGCAAUAAACAACCAAUCAAAACAAAGAUGACUCCUCUGAGUGUUGUGAUAUGCGGGUCAAGGAGGAUGGCUCCCAGGAUGUGACCUCAGAGCAGAAGCCUGGAGGCUUGCCAGCAGCGGGAAGAGCAGCGGCAGGGCACUGCAGGCAGAGGUGACCAAAAGCGUGAAACCUUGAGCUGGGAAGCACGUGGUCUGCUGGAAAGUGGGCUGAUGUAUUUGAAGAGAGCAAGGAGCAGAAUGGUACAAUGGGGUGAUGGGGGAAGAGCCAGGCAGAGCCCAGUGCUGCAAAGCCCGGUAGCACAUACAUGUGUAACGUACCUUGAAGCAAAUGAAUGGCCUGAUCUGGUUUCUGUUUUGGCUGCUCUGUGGUGAUGUGGUGCCUGGGAGGCAAAGAAGCUGGGAAAGAAGCGGUUUUUCUCUUCUAGGUACUUUAAAGCUCUAUAAUAUAUGCUCAGGUGAAAUUUGGCUGGUAUUUUCAGGGACUUCACUGCUUUUGUGCCAUACUGGCCUCAUCAUGUAGAUAACAUCACGG
rnacentral:lncRNA from 10 species